ACGGCAGAGAUGUCGUUUCCCUUGUGGCCUGUGUGCAGGUGGUGCAUGGCUGUCGUCAGCUCGUGUCGUGAGAUGUUGGGUUAAGUCCCGCAACGAGCGCAACCCUUGUCUCAUGUUGCCAGCACGUAAUGGUGGGGACUCGUGAGAGACUGCCGGGGUCAACUCGGAGGAAGGUGGGGAUGACGUCAAGUCAUCAUGCCCCUUAUGUCCAGGGCUUCACACAUGCUACAAUGGCCGGUACAAAGGGCUGCGAAGCCGUGAGGUGGAGCGAAUCCUUUAAAGCCGGUCUCAGUUCGGAUCGGGGUCUGCAACUCGACCCCGUGAAGUUGGAGUCGCUAGUAAUCGCAGAUCA
rnacentral:rRNA from 1 species